rnacentral:lncRNA from 1 species
GCUUGUUUCAUUCCCCUGAUUUAUUUUUAAACUAUGUUUAAAAAUCUAUUUUAUAAUAUACAGUAGAAUUUUAUGGAAAAUUGAAGUCACAGUCACUAGCUUAUAUAAUGUACAUAAGUUUUAAAAGUAAUACCAUGUUUAUUUAUUAGAAGCUAAUUUUUCCUUCUACAUCUUGUUCUCUACUAGAUCUAUUCCAUGAGAUAGAGUCAGAAAGAAAGAAAAUAUUACUAAGGUGAAACUCUCACUAAAGACAAAGGAGAAAUUACCCUGUUCUACAGAGUGAAAUCUUAAGAGACCCAAAGAAGUCUACACAGGUUGAGGUCAGACUACAGAAAAGGAUCUUUCUCUUCACUUCCUUCUGGGAGACAGCAAGAAUCCCCCCUGCAGGUGGAGGAGACAGGUGAGUGAGUGUCGCAGGGUAGGCAGUGG